UGUGUGAGAGCAAUCGCGUGGAUGCCAAGACCAAAUUAGAGGCUCAGUUAGAAGCCAAUAAAGGAAGAUUGAGUGGGAGCACUGGUUUGCUGUUGAAGCAGUUCCUCCUCUUCCAUCUCCUCACAGGCUUACACAGCUUACCUCUCAGGAAUGCUACGUUUUGAACAUCAAGAAUGGAAAGCUGCCAUUGAGGCUUUUAACAAAUGCAAAACUAUCUAUGAGAAGCUAGCCAGUGCUUUCACAGAGGAGCAGGC
rnacentral:ncRNA from 2 species